UGGCGGCAGGCUUAACACAUGCAAGUCGAGCGGUAGCAGAUCUAGCUUGCUAGAUGCUGACGAGCGGCGGACGGGUGAGUAACGCGUAGGAACCUGCCCAGUAGUGGGGGAUAGCCCGGGGAAACUCGGAUUAAUACCGCAUACGCUCUACGGAGGAAAGAGGGGGCCUCGGCUCUCGCUAUUGGAUGGGCCUGCGUGAGAUUAGCUAGUUGGUGAGGUAAUGGCUCACCAAGGCGACGAUCUCUAGCUGGUCUGAGAGGAUGAUCAGCCACACUGGGACUGAGACACGGCCCAGACUCCUACGGGAGGCAGCAGUGGGGAAUAUUGCACAAUGGGCGCAAGCCUGAUGCAGCCAUGCCGCGUGUGUGAAGAAGGCUUUCGGGUUGUAAAGCACUUUCAGUGGGGAGGAAGGCCUCGUAGUUAAUAGCUGCGAGGAUUGACGUUACCCACAGAAGAAGCACCGGCUAACUCCGUG
rnacentral:rRNA from 1 species